ensembl:lncRNA
GCCAGAGAGCAGUGGUUGGUCAGACUGACUGAGAGCCAGAGAACAGUGAUUGGUCAGACCAUAGAUAUGUAUAGAAGACAGCGCACUAGCGUAUCAAGUCUAUAUAUAUCUAUGGUAGGCAGGUCUGGUAGCAUCUCUGGCUGCUGUUGAUCUUGUUUUUGGAGUAAAAGUCUUACUGUAAAACACGGUGGAAGCUGAAUUAGUGAGGAUGACUCCUGCUCCUGUCAUCUCUAAGCUCCUCACACAUCUUUACCUGCACAUGAGGAAAAUCACUCCUGUAGAAUGCAGAUGUUCAGAGGGAGAUGAUGCCACAUCUGGUCCAGCUGAUGGAAGGUCUUGAAGUUCUCUGACUGGCCUCGACUGAAGAUGGUCCUCUCACUAUGUUUAAGAUGCACAAUGAGGGACGUCUGCAGAGACUGAGAAAGAGUCUCACCUCAUCCUGACAUGAGGAAAAAGACUUUAUUGAAGACUACAAUGAGGAAAAACUAUCAGACAGCAGACGGCUGCAUUCAAGGCUACAGGAGGAGCCCUACGAGGACGAGCCGGUCCACCUGAUGGCGGCCAUCGCUGCGGUUCAAAGCCAACACCGACUACAUGGACUUCUACUGGACCACACGGAGGCCUUCAAACCGGACCAACAAGUUCAGCGACUCCCCGACUCGUGGGUCUGAG